UACGAAGGGGGCUAGCGUUGCUCGGAAUCAUUGGGCGUAAAGCGCACGUAGGCGGUUCGUUAUGUCGGAUGUGAAAGCCCUUGGCCUUAACCGAGGAAGUGCAUCCGAAACUGGCGAGCUAGAGUACUAAAGAGGAUCGCGGAAUUCCCGGUGUAGAGGUGAAAUUCGUAGAUAUCGGGAGGAACACCGGUGGCGAAGGCGGCGAUCUGGGUAGAUAACUGACGCUGAGGUGGCGAAA
rnacentral:rRNA from 1 species